rnacentral:lncRNA from 1 species
UACAGCUAAUGUACAUGUAAGAUUUACAUCUAUCACCUAUCAUUAUUGUUAGUCAAAAUGCUAUUAAGUAGGUCAGAAGAUUCGAUAUCUUAUUCUGUGUUUCAAGAUAACAAUUUAGCUGUCGGUUUUUUGGCUAACCUAAUAAUACAGGUGUUUUUGAAACAGAGACCUAGGAACAAAAUUAAAAGGGCUAAUAUAAAUAAAAUGACUAAAAUUUUAUUAAUUUAGUACA